AAAAGUUCAGCAGACAGGUGCUCUGCUUUGGAGUGUGACGAUGUCGUCGGUGAUGUGGAGAGUGAAGUUUCCGUUUCACCCACAGCGUGCUUUAGGGCGCCGGGGUCGGACUUGAUGUUUGAAAUACUGAUCGACAGCUCAGAUUUAACUAGUGAAAGUAGCAGUUCCUCCUUAAGGUCAGAGAUUGCAGCAUCUGAGGGCCUCUUCAAAAGAAGACGUAGUUGAUGAAGGCGUUCUGGAGCAGGACCAGAAAGACCA
ensembl:lncRNA